rnacentral:rRNA from 1 species
UACGAAGGGGGCUAGCGUUGUUCGGAGUUACUGGGCGUAAAGCGCACGUAGGCGGAUCGUUAAGUCGGGGGUGAAAUCCUGGAGCUCAACUCCAGAACUGCCUUCGAUACUGGCGAUCUUGAGUUCGGAAGAGGUGAGUGGAACUCCGAGUGUAGAGGUGGAAUUCGUAGAUAUUAGGAAGAACACCAGUGGCGAAGGCGGCUCACUGGUCCGAUACUGACGCUGAGGUGCGAAAGCGUGGGGAGCAAACAGG